AACGAACGCUGGCGGCGCGCCUAAUACAUGCAAGUCGAGCGAGAAGACGUAGCAAUACGUUUGUAAAGCGGCGAACGGGUGAGGAAUACAUGGGUAACCUACCCUCGAGUGGGGAAGUAACUAGCCGAAGGUUAGCUAAUACCGCGUACGCUCCUUGGACUUCGGUUCAGGGAGGAAAGCGAUACCGUGGGUAUCGCGCUCUUGGAUGGGCUCAUGUCCUAUCAGCUUGUUGGUGAGGUAACGGCUCACCAAGGCUUCGACGGGUAGCUGGUCUGAGAGGACGAUCAGCCACACUGGCACUGCGACACGGGCCAGACUCCUACGGAGGCAGCAGUAAGGAAUAUUGCGCAAUGGGCGAAAGCCUGACGCAGCGACGCCGCGUGGGGGAGUGAA
rnacentral:rRNA from 1 species